GGGGGCGUGGCGAAACAGGUAGACGCAGCAGACUUAAAAUCUGCCGGCCACAAGGCCGUGCCGGUUCGAGUCCGGCCGUCCCCA
rnacentral:tRNA from 1 species